rnacentral:rRNA from 1 species
UACGGAGGGUGCGAGCGUUGUCCGGAAUCAUUGGGCGUAAAGGGCGCGUAGGUGGCUUCUUAAGCGUGCGGUGAAAGCCUGGGGCUCAACCCCGGGUCGGCCGUGCGAACUGGGGGGCUGGAGCACUGUAGAGGCAGGCGGAAUUCCGGGUGUAGCGGUGGAAUGCGUAGAGAUCCGGAAGAACACCGGUGGCGAAGGCGGCCUGCUGGGCAGUUGCUGGACACUGAGGCGCGACAGCGUGGGGGAGCGAACAGG